rnacentral:rRNA from 1 species
UGGGGAAUAUUGGACAAUGGGGGCAACCCUGAUCCAGCAAUGCCAUGUGUGUGAAGAAGGCCUUAGGGUUGUAAAGCACUUUAGUUGGGGAGGAAGUAUACGAGGUUAAUACCCUUGUAUGUUGACGCUACCCAAAGAAUAAGCACCGGCUAACUCUGUGCCAGCAGCCGCGGUAAUACAGAGGGUGCAAGCGUUAAUCGGAAUUACUGGGCGUAAAGCGCACGUAGGUGGUUACUUAAGUCAGAUGUGAAAUCCCCGGGCUCAACCUGGGAAUGGCAUUUGAGACUGGGCUACUAGAGUAUGUUAGAGGGAAGUGGAAUUUCCGGUGUAGCGGUGAAAUGCGUAGAUAUCGGAAGGAACAUCAGUGGCGAAGGCGACUUCCUGGAAUAAUACUGACACUGAGGAGCGAAAGCGUGGGGAGCGAACAGG